rnacentral:rRNA from 1 species
AGUGAACGCUGGCGGUAGGCCUAACACAUGCAAGUCGAACGGCAGCACAGGAGAGCUUGCUCUCUGAGUGGCGAGUGGCGGACGGGUGAGGAAUACAUCGGAAUCUACUCUGUCGUGAGGGAUAACGUAGGGAAACUUACGCUAAUACCGCAUACGACCUACGGGUGAAAGCAGGGGACCUUCGGGCCUUGCGCGAUUGAAUGAGCCGAUGUCGGAUUAGCUAGUUGGCGGGGUAAAGGCCCACCAAGGCGACGAUCCGUAGCUGGUCUGAGAGGAUGAUCAGCCACACUGGAACUGAGACACGGUCCAGACUCCUACGGGAGGCAGCAGUGGGGAAUAUUGGACAAUGGGCGCAAGCCUGAUCCAGCCAUACCGCGUGGGUGAAGAAGGCCUUCGGGUUGUAAAGCCCUUUUGUUGGGAAAGAAAUCCAGCUGGCUAAUACCCGGUUGGGAUGACGGUACCCAAAGAAUAAGCACCGGCUAACUUCGUGCCAGCCGCCGCGGUAA